rnacentral:lncRNA from 10 species
CCUCGAUAAGAGGAGUAAAUUCCAGUGUUCUAGCACUAUAGGGUGACUAUAAUUCAUAAUUCCCUGUAUAUUUUAAAUAGCUAGAAGAGGAUUUUGAAUGUUUCCAACACAAGGAAAUGAUAAAUGUUUGAGGUGAUGGAUAUGCUAAUUACCCUGAUUUGAUCAUUACACAUUGUAUACAUGUAUUAAAUUAUUACACUGUACCUCAUACAUAGGUGAAAUUAUUAUGUGUCAAUUAAAAAUAAUAAAAGUGAAAAACCCAUAGCUUAGGUAGUGGCAUACCCCUGCUCCAAACCCUCCAAUGCAUACCCAUGUCAUCCAUAGUAAAAGCCCAAAUCCCAUAAGG